GACGAACGCUGGCGGCGUGCCUAAUACAUGCAAGUAGAGCGCACAGUUUAUACCGUAGCUUGCUACACCAUAGACUGUGAGUUGCGAACGGGUGAGUAACGCGUAGGUAACCUGCCUGGUAGCGGGGGAUAACUAUUGGAAACGAUAGCUAAUACCGCAUAAUAUUAAUUAUUGCAUGAUAAUUAAUUGAAAGGUGCAAUUGCACCACUACCAGAUGGACCUGCGUUGUAUUAGCUAGUAGGUGAGGUAACGGCUCACCUAGGCGACGGUACAUAGCCGAACCGGGGAGGUGGACGGCCCCACCGGGAAUUGGACCCGGGCCCGGACUCUUACGGAGGGAGCAGGAGGGGAUCCUUGGGAAAGGGCGGAAGGCUUACCGGGGAACGGCGGCGUGAGGGAGGAAGGUUUCGGAUCGUAAAGCUCCGUUUUAAGAGAAGAACGGGUGUGAGAGUGGAAAGUUCACACUGUGACGGUAGCUUACCAGAAAGGGACGGCUAACUACGUG
rnacentral:rRNA from 1 species